GCAUUUCUUUUAACGAUUGAGACAAUCAUUGAUUUCAUUUGAAUAGAUUUAGCAGAUUCAAUGAAUUGAAAUGGAUGAUGUGUUGAUCCUUAGUUUCUCAUAGCUUGUAAAAAUGUAGAGAAGGUUUUGGACUUUCUUUUCUUGUAAAUGUCUCAGCUAUUUGAGUUAUAAAAUGAAGAGUGGUUUUCCCUUUGUGUUGGUUUGUA
rnacentral:misc_RNA from 1 species